UUUAAAUGUUGUUGUGGGUUUCAUUGUCCAACGUUUACCAUCUGUCUUAUUUAAUUUUUUAGAUUAGUAUUUUAUUGUUAUUAGAUGAUAAAACAUGAAUAGUAUUUUACGUGUGACUUUAUUUUAAAAAGAAUACAUAUUUUUUUAAUAAGAUAGACAAUUAAACGUUAAACACUAAAAUCUACAAUUGUAUUUAAA
rnacentral:pre_miRNA from 1 species